rnacentral:rRNA from 1 species
AACGCUAGCUACAGGCUUAACACAUGCAAGUCGAGGGGAAACGAUAGAGAAAGCUUGCUUUUUCUAGGCGUCGACCGGCGCACGGGUGAGUAACGCGUAUCCAACCUGCCCACCACUUGGGGAUAACCUUGCGAAAGUAAGACUAAUACCCAAUGAUAUCUCUAGAAGACAUCUGAAAGAGAUUAAAGAUUUAUCGGUGAUGGAUGGGGAUGCGUCUGAUUAGCUUGUUGGCGGGGUAACGGCCCACCAAGGCGACGAUCAGUAGGGGUUCUGAGAGGAAGGUCCCCCACAUUGGAACUGAGACACGGUCCAAACUCCUACGGGAGGCAGCAGUGAGGAAUAUUGGUCAAUGGGCGAGAGCCUGAACCAGCCAAGUAGCGUGCAGGAUGACGGCCCUAUGGGUUGUAAACUGCUUUUAUAAGGGAAUAAAGUGAGCCUCGUGAGGCUUUUUGCAUGUACCUUAUGAAUAAGGACCGGCUAAUUCCGUGCCAGCAGCCGCGGUAAUACGGAAGGUCCGGGCGUUAUCCGGAUUUAUUGGGUUUAAAGGGAGCGUAGGCCGGAGAUUAAGCGUGUUGUGAAAUGUAGAUGCUCAACAUCUGCACUGCAGCGCGAACUGGUUUCCUUGAGUACGCACAAAGUGGGCGGAAUUCGUGGUGUAGCGGUGAAAUGCUUAGAUAUCACGAAGAACUCCGAUUG